rnacentral:rRNA from 1 species
UACGUAGGCAGCGAGCGUUGUUCGGAGUUACUGGGCGUAAAGGGUGCGUAGGCGGUUGUUUAAGUUUGGUGUGAAAUCUCCCGGCUCAACUGGGAGGGUGCGCCGAAUACUGAAUGACUAGAGUCCGGAAGAGGAGAGUGGAAUUCCUGGUGUAGCGGUGAAAUGCGCAGAUAUCAGGAAGAACACCAAUGGCGAAAGCAGCUCUCUGGGACGGUACUGACGCUGAGACGCGAAAGCGUGGGGAGCGAACAGG